rnacentral:rRNA from 1 species
AAUAGAUACCCAGGUAGUCCACGCCGUAAACGAUGAGUGCUAAGUGUUAGAGGGUUUCCGCCCUUUAGUGCUGCAGCUAACGCAUUAAGCACUCCGCCUGGGGAGUACGGCCGCAAGGCUGAAACUCAAAAGAAUUGACGGGGGCCCGCACAAGCGGUGGAGCAUGUGGUUUAAUUCGAAGCAACGCGAAGAACCUUACCAGGUCUUGACAUCCUCUGCCAACCCUAGAGAUAGGGCGUUCCCCUUCGGGGGACAGAGUGACAGGUGGUGCAUGGUUGUCGUCAGCUCGUGUCGUGAGAUGUUGGGUUAAGUCCCGCAACGAGCGCAACCCUUGAUCUUAGUUGCCAGCAUUCAGUUGGGCACUCUAAGGUGACUGCCGGUGACAAACCGGAGGAAGGUGGGGAUGACGUCAAAUCAUCAUGCCCCUUAUGACCUGGGCUACACACGUGCUACAAUGGAUGGUACAAAGAGCAGCGAACCCGCGAGGGUAAGCCAAUCUCAUAAAGCCAUUCUCAGUUCGGAUUGUAGG